GAUCAAGCGACUAAGUGCAUGUGGUGGAUGCCUUGGCGAUCACAGGCGAUGAAGGACGUGCAAGCCUGCGAAAAGCUACGGGGAGUUGGCAACGAAACUUUGAUCCGUAGAUAUCCGAAUGGGGAAACCCACCCGCAAGGGUAUCCCAUACUGAAUCCAUAGGUAUGGGAGGCGAACCCGGUGAACUGAAACAUCUAAGUAGCCGGAGGAAAAGAAAUCAACCGAGAUUCCGUAAGUAGUGGCGAGCGAACACGGAAAAGCCUGCUAGUGAUAGCGGAACUGUUAAUAGAACGGAAUGGAAAGUCCGGCCGUAGUGGGUGAUAGCCCCGUAUAUGAAAACAGAUCCGUGGUACUAAGUUAGCGAAAAGUAGGGCGGG
rnacentral:ncRNA from 1 species